UACGUAGGGGCCAAGCGUUGUCCGGAUUUAUUGGGCGUAAAGAGCGCGCAGGCGGUCGUUCAAGUCGAGUGUGAAAGCCCCCGGCUCAACUGGGGAGGGUCAUUCGAUACUGAUCGACUUGAAGGCAGGAGAGGGAAGUGGAAUUCCCGGUGUAGUGGUGAAAUGCGUAGAUAUCGGGAGGAACACCAGUGGCGAAGGCGACUUCCUGGCCUGUUCUUGACGCUGAGGCGCGAAAGCUAGGGGAGCAAACGGG
rnacentral:rRNA from 1 species